UACUUAUCAAGAGAAGUGUAAGGCAGCUCUGUCGAUACUUCGACAACAUGGUGAUGCAUGUGCUAAUUUCAGUAGCUUGCAUAAAUGCUAGAAGAUAGGGA
rnacentral:ncRNA from 1 species